rnacentral:rRNA from 1 species
GGACUACCCGGGUAUCUAAUCCUGUUUGCUACCCACGCUUUCGUACCUCAGCGUCAGUUUAUGGCCAGAAAGUCGCCUUCGCCACCGGUAUUCCUCCUAAUAUCUGCGCAUUUCACCGCUACACUAGGAAUUCCACUUUCCCUUCCAUACCUCAAGAUGAGCAGUUUUAAAAGCUUACUAUAGUUGAGCUAUAGGAUUUCACUUCUAACUUGCUUAUCCGCCUACGUACCCUUUACGCCCAAUGAUUCCGGACAACGCUCGGACCUUACGUAUUACCGCGGCUGCUGGCAC